UUAAAGGAAUUGACGGAAGGGCACCACAAGGUGUGGAGCCUGCGGCUUAAUUUGACUCAACACGGGAAACCUCACCAGGCCAGGACACCGGUAGGAUUGACAGAUUGAGAGCUCUUUCUUGAUUCGGUGGGUGGUGGUGCAUGGCCGUCCUUAGUUGGUGGAACGAUUUGUCUGCUUAAUUGCGUUAACGAACGAGACCUUUGCCUGCUAACUAGUCGAUACCGGCAUCCUUGGUGCAGCCGGCGAUUAACGUUCUUCUUAGAGGGACAGGCGGCUUCCAGCCGCACGAAACUAGGCAAUGACAGGUCUGUAAUGCCCUUAGAUGUUCUGGGCAGCACGCGCGCUACACUGAAGGCAUCAGCGUGUGUUUUCCUUGCCCGAGAGGGCCGGGUAACCCGUUGAAUCUCCUUCGUGCUAGGGAUUGGGGCUUGCAAUUCUUCCCCACGAACGAGGAAUACCUAGUAAACGGGAAUCAUUAUUUCCCAUUGAUUAUGUCCCUGCCCUUUGUACACACCGCCCGUCGCUACUACCGAUUGAAUAUUUUAGUGAGGUCUUCGGACCAGCCCGCGGCUCCUUCGCGGGGGCCGAUGCGCCGGAAAGAUGACCAAACUUGAAUAUUUAGAGGAAGUAAAAGUCGUAACAAGGUUUCC
rnacentral:rRNA from 1 species